rnacentral:rRNA from 1 species
GUAGGUAGCAAGCGUUGUCCGGAAUUAUUGGGCGUAAAGCGCGCGCAGGCGGUUCUUUAAGUCUGAUGUGAAAGCCCACGGCUCAACCGUGGAGGGUCAUUGGAAACUGGAGAACUUGAGUACAGAAGAGGAAAGCGGAAUUCCACGUGUAGCGGUGAAAUGCGCAGAGAUGUGGAGGAACACCAGUGGCGAAGGCGGCUUUCUGGUCUGUAACUGACGCUGAGGCGCGAAAGCGUGGGGGAGCAAACAGGAUUAGAUACCCUGGUAGUCCACGCCGUAAACGAUGAGUGCUAAGUGUUAGGGGGUUUCCGCCCCUUAGUGCUGCAGCUAACGCAUUAAGCACUCCGCCUGGGAGUACGGCCGCAAGGCUG